UUCAAGUGUCUGUUCCAUUCAGUAUGUUGUCGAUGUUUUUCUUUUGUCAGCCAUAGAUCGCAUAAGGGUGAUUUUUGGAACUGAACAACUGGAUGAUAAGAAAACGCUUAAGUAUUAUAAUAUCACACAUGGAUCUGUUCUUAUCUUUGUGAUGAGAACGGAUGGUGGAAAAAAAGAAGGUGAAACUAGUGGUGAAGGAGCAGAAGGUGGAGGACUUCGCAGGACUGAAUCCAUGGAAAGACUUCACGUAAAAAUGUAGUUAUAUGUUAGACUCUCUUGGCAUUCAGAAUUUAUUGUUUCACAUAUUGCAAAAAACACUGAUUUUUCCUAGAGGUUUGGUCAACUUGUCUCAGAAUGUCUCAGACAAUUUUCAAAGAGAGAUUUGGCUUGCAAAAUGAGUGAUGAAAAACAGCAAUAUAGGAGCCCUUAUGUUGUAUUUUUGCACCAAAGUAGACUUUUUCCUACAUUCAAACAUGUUCAUAUGUUGUAUUUUUAAAACUGCAUAACAACAACAUCAGUGCAUCGCCCAAAUAAUUAAAGUGUUACAUUAAAUAAAUAAAUAAAAAUGUU